rnacentral:lncRNA from 1 species
AUUUCACCCAACACGUCACACAGCCAACCCACGAGAAAGGGCACAGUCUGGACCUGGUCAUCACGUAUGGCCUGUCCCCUACUGUGUCCUCUGUUAUCGACCUGGCCGUCUCUGACCAUUACUGUGUGUUUUUUAAUGUCACCGGUUUUAUCCAGCGAGAAUCCUCGGCAAAAACUGUGAGGAAACGAAAUUUGACCCUGAAGUGGCUGCAAAAUUUAUUGAUGCUUUACAACAAAUUCCUCCUGUGAUUUUACCUGCUAACUGCGAUUUUAUUGUUGACAAUUUUAACAGUAAACUACUCAUCGCCCUCGAUGCAGUUGCACCAUUCAAACUUAAAAAGAUUAAUCCCAAAUCCCUCCCCCCCUGGAGAAAGGAGGAGCUGAAGCCACUCAAGAGAAAUUGCAGGAAGGCCGAGAGGAGAUGGAGGAAAUUCAAAAUAACAAUACAUUUUCAAAUAUUCCGUGCUCAACAAAAGACCUACAAUACAGCAAUAAGAAAUGCAAGAAAUAAAUUAUUUUCCACAAUAAUCACCAACCACAAAAACAACCCAAAAGUCCUAUUCUCAACAAUAGAAAAUGUUUUAAAUCCUGAUUUUAACAAACCUCCUUUAAAUCCCACAGAUGCUCUCUGUGAGGUGUUUACAGACCACUUCAGGGGAAAGAUAGACACUAUCAGAUGUAAUAUUUUAUAUACCCAAAGUAACACUGCUUUAAAUACAUCUGGUUGUCUACUUGUUCCAAAAGAAACACUGCACAGUUUUGUCCAGGUUAAUGCUGAGAUGCUUGAUAAAGUUUUCUCCUCAGUGAGGCCCACCACAUGUCUUUUAGACCCGGUCUCAACCCCGUUUUUUAAAACAUUCUAUGGAUCCUUUAAAGACGAGCUUUUAAACAUGAUGAAUUGCUCUCUUCAGAUGGGGGUCUUCCCUGCUGCCUUUAAGGGGGCGGUUAUGAGGCCUCUACUGAAGAAGAGCAAUUUGGACUGUAAUGAUUUUAACAAUUUUAGACCAGUAUCCAACUUACCAUUUUUAAGCAAAAUCUUAGAAAAACUUGUCUUCAUCCAACUUAAUGAUUUUAUUACUGCAGAUAACGUCCUUGAGAAAUUCCAGUCUGGCUUUAGGGUAAACCACAGCACAGAGACAACCCUUUUAAAGAUUUUAAAUUAUCUUAGAUUAAAUUAUGACUCACAGAAGGUCACAGUGUUGGUUCUACUGGAUCUGAGCGCUGCCUUUGAUACAGUCGACCACACUAUUCUUUUAACUCGUUUAAAACACAUCGGCCUCUCUGGUGCUGUCCACAAAUGGUUUACAUCCUACCUCACAG